GUGUCAGCAGCCGCGGUAAUACCGGCAGCCCGAGUGAUGGCCGAUCUUAUUGGGCCUAAAGCGUCCGUAGCUGGCCACGCAAGUCCAUCGGAAAAUCCACCCGCCCAACGGGUGGGCGUCCGGUGGAAACUGCGUGGCUUGGGACCGGAAGGCGCGACGGGUACGUCCGGGGUAGGAGUGAAAUCCCGUAAUCCUGGACGGACCGCCGAUGGCGAAAGCACCUUGGAAGGACGGAUCCGACAGUGAGGGACGAAAGCUAGGGUCUCGAAUCGGAUUAGAAACCCCCGUAGUCC
rnacentral:rRNA from 1 species